GACCGCCACUCUGGAGAGAGAUGCGACAGCAUCCGCCGAAGGAGAAAGCCGCGAAGCGCGGCGAUACUCUCAGGCAAAAGGACAGAGGGGGGAUG
rnacentral:ncRNA from 2 species